AGAGUUUGAUCCUGGCUCAGGAUGAACGCUAGCUACAGGCCUAACACAUGCAAGUCGAGGGGCAUCGGGAGGGAAGCUUGCUUCCCUUGCCGGCGACCGGCGCACGGGUGAGUAACGCGUAUCGAACCUGCCCCAUACCCGGGGAUAGCCUUGCGAAAGUAAGAUUAAUACCCGAUGGUUUCCUUUUGUCUCCUGAUGAAAGGAAUAAAGAAUUUCGGUAUGGGAUGGCGAUGCGUCCGAUUAGCUUGUUGGCGGGGUAACGGCCCACCAAGGCAACGAUCGGUAGGGGUUCUGAGAGGAAGGUCCCCCACAUUGGAACUGAGACACGGUCCAAACUCCUACGGGAGGCAGCAGUGAGGAAUAUUGGUCAAUGGGCGAAAGCCUGAACCAGCCAAGUAGCGUGCAGGAUGACGGCCCUACGAGUUGUAAACUGCUUUUAGGCGGGGGUAAAGUGCCGGACGUGUUCCGGUAUUGCAAGUACCGCCAGAAAAAGGACCGGCUAAUUCCGUGCCAGCAGCCGCGGUAAUACGGAAGGUCCGGGCGUUAUCCGGAUUUAUUGGGUUUAAAGGGAGCGUAGGCGGGCUAUUAAGUCAGCUGUGAAAUCCGGCGGCUCAACCGUCGGCCUGCAGUUGAUACUGGUGGUCUUGAGUGCGCGCAGGGGCGUUGGAAUUCAUGGUGUAGCGGUGAAAUGCCCAGAUAUCAUGAAGAACUCCGAUCGCGAAGGCAGAUGCCCGGAGCGCAACUGACGCUGAGGCUCGAAAGUGCGGGUAUCAAACAGGAUUAGAUACCCUGGUAGUCCGCACAGUAAACGAUGGAUACUCGCGGUUCGGCUUUAGAGCGGAGCCGCCAAGCGAAAGCGUUAAGUAUCCCA
rnacentral:rRNA from 1 species